GACGAACGCUGGCGGCGUGCUUAGCACAUGCAAGUCGAGCGGAAAGGCCCUGCUUUUGUGGGGUGCUCGAGUGGCGAACGGGUGAGUAACACGUGAGUAACCUGCCCUUGACUUUGGGAUAACUUCAGGAAACUGGGGCUAAUACCGGAUAGGAGCUCCUGCUGCAUGGUGGGGGUUGGAAAGUUUCGGCGGUUGGGGAUGGACUCGCGGCUUAUCAGCUUGUUGGUGGGGUAGUGGCUUACCAAGGCUUUGACGGGUAGCCGGCCUGAGAGGGUGACCGGCCACAUUGGGACUGAGAUACGGCCCAGACUCCUACGGGAGGCAGCAGUGGGGAAUAUUGCACAAUGGGCGGAAGCCUGAUGCAGCAACGCCGCGUGCGGGAUGACGGCCUUCGGGUUGUAAACCGCUUUCGCCUGUGACGAAGCGUGAGUGACGGUAAUGGGUAAAGAAGCACCGGCUAACUACGUG
rnacentral:rRNA from 1 species